GUGUUCUUCAGUGGUCCAUGUCUUGUAGAAUCUGGUGAAUCUACAACCAGGUAAAGGUAAGACUAGCUGCGGGAGGUGAAUUUCUGGCAGAAAUACCAUCACCGCUGGGCCGCAGCACGCCUCUGUCUUCUAGUUUCCGCAGCGCGAGCAGGACAAGUACCUGCGGGGCAGUGGACAGGUUGGGACCGGCCUGGAUUCCAUCGCGCGCCCUGGGCGACGUCACGGUGAGGCCCCUGUGCUCUCCUGCCUGCCCGGUGCUGAUGCUCCCCAACUAGGUUGCGAGAACUCACUUCACCCAUCUGC
rnacentral:lncRNA from 1 species